AUGUACCCCGCCGUCCACUGCGGUUGUGAGCGCGCCGUCCGCGCCCACCUGACCGCUGCUCGCGACGUGUUGUUAGCC
rnacentral:sRNA from 2 species